rnacentral:rRNA from 1 species
CUUUACUGUAACCUGGUAUUGGGUUCGGGCUUUGACUGCGCAGGAUAGGUGGGAGACUAUGAAGCAAUCCUUGUGGGGAUUGUGGAGUCAACAGUGAGAUACCACUCUGUCAGAGCUAGAAUUCUAACCUUCACCCGUUAUCCGGGGAAGGAACCGUAUCAGGCGGGCAGUUUGACUGGGGCGGUCGCCUCCUAAAUGGUAACGGAGGCGCGCAAAGGUGUUCUCAGGCUGGUUGGAAAUCAGCCGCAGAGUGUAAAGGCAGAAGAACGCUUGACUGUGAGAGUGACAACUCGAGCAGGGUGGAAACACGGCCUUAGUGAUCCGACGGCUCGUGCGUGGAAAUGCCGUCGCUCAACGGAUAAAAGUUA